UACGAAGGGGGGCUAGCGUUGUUCGGAUUUACUGGGCGUAAAGCGCACGUAGGCGGAUCGUUAAGUGAGGGGUGAAAUCCCAGGGCUCAACCCCUGGAACUGCCUUUCAUACUGGCGAUCUUGAGUCCGGAAGAGGUGAGUGGAACUCCUAGUGUAGAGGUGGAAUUCGUAGAUAUUAGGAAGAACACCAGUGGCGAAGGCGGCUCACUGGUCCGGUACUGGACGCUGAGGUGCGAAAGCGUGGGGGAGCAAACAGG
rnacentral:rRNA from 1 species